AAAAACCAGCGGGCUCGUGUGUCGAUGAAGAACGCUGCUAGCUGCUUCACUAAUCUGAAUUGCCGGACACAUUGAUCAUCGACACUUCGAACACACCUUGCGUACGCCUGUCUGAGGGUCG
rnacentral:rRNA from 2 species